rnacentral:rRNA from 1 species
CCUACGGGGGGCAGCAGUGGGGAAUAUUGCACAAUGGGGGAAACCCUGAUGCAGCGACGCCGCGUGAGUGAAGAAGUAAUUCGUUACGUAAAGCUCUAUCAGCAGGGAAGAAAAUGCCGGUACCUGAGUAAGAAGCCCCGGCUAACUACGUGCCAGCAGCCGCGGUAAUACGUAGGGGGCCAGCGUUAUCCGGAUUUACUGGGUGUAAAGGGAGCGUAGACGGUGCGCCAAGUCUGGAGUUAAAGGCCGCAGCUUAACUGCGGGACUGCUUUUGAAACUGGCGAACUAGAGUGCGGGAGGGGUAAGCGGAAUGCGUGGUGUAGCGGUGAAAUGCGUAGAUAUUAGGAGGAACACCGAUGGCGAAGGCAGCUUACUGGACCGUAACUGACGUUGAGGCUCGAAAGCGUGGGGAGCAAACAGGAUUAGAUACCCGUGUAGUC